UACAGAGGUCUCAAGCGUUGUUCGGAUUCAUUGGGCGUAAAGGGUGCGUAGGCGGCGCGGUAAGUCGGGUGUGAAAUCUUGGAGCUUAACUCCGAAACUGCAUUCGAUACUGCCGUGCUUGAGGACUGGAGAGGAGACUGGAAUUUACGGUGUAGCGGUGAAAUGCGUAGAUAUCGUAAGGAAGACCAGUGGCGAAGGCGGGUCUCUGGAAAGUUCCUGACGCUGAGGCACGAAGGCCAGGGGAGAAAACGGG
rnacentral:rRNA from 1 species